GACCUGAUAGCUCAGCAGGUAGAGCAUCUCCCUUUUAAGGAGAGGGUCCUGGGUUCGAGCCCCAGUCAGGUCACAA
rnacentral:tRNA from 1 species